GAUGAACGCUGGCGGCGUGCUUAACACAUGCAAGUCGAGGGGCAGCGGGGGAGUAGCAAUACUCCCGCCGGCGACCGGCGCACGGGUGAGUAACACGUAUGAAACCUGCCCGUAGCAGGGGGAUAAGCGGAAGAAAUUCCGUCUAAUACCGCGUAACAACCCAUGGAGGCAUCUCCGUGGGUUUAAAGGAAGCGAUUCCGGCUACGGAUGGUCAUGCGUCGCAUUAGCUAGUUGGCGGGGUAACGGCCCACCAAGGCGACGAUGCGUAGGGGUUCUGAGAGGAAGGUCCCCCACACUGGUACUGAGACACGGACCAG
rnacentral:rRNA from 1 species